rnacentral:rRNA from 1 species
UCAGUCUUGCGACCGUACUCCCCAGGCGGCAAGCUUAACGGCUUCCCUGCGACACUCCGAUCGCGAUUUGCGACCGGAUCAUCUAGCUUGCAUCGUUUACGGCUGGGACUACCCGGGUAUCUAAUCCGGUUCGCUCCCCCAGCUUUCAUCCCUCACCGUCGAGCGCGUUCUGGUGGGCCGCCUUCGCCACUGGUGGUCUUCCACGGAUCAAAGGAUUUUACCCCUACACGUGGAGUACCGCCCACCUCUCCCGCCUCCUAGUCCUGCGGUAUCCCCUGCAGGCCAACGGUUAAGCCGUUGGAUUUAACAGGGGACCUACAGAACAGGCUACGGAUGCU